rnacentral:lncRNA from 1 species
GCAUACCGGAGAUCAACACUGGCCCUCUAUCCAAGCCUGGAGCCAAGACAGCUGUCACCCACUUUUUUGACACUGCCUGGCCACUUCCGGUGCCGCUGGGAGGAAGAGGCGGGUCCUAGAUGGAUGGCGCUUGUGCAGUCAGUCUGGUGGAUAUAGAGCCGACGGUGGCAGCAUGUUGUCGGCUGCUAGAGUUGUCGGCUUCCGGCGGCGUUUUCGGCAGCGGUACUGGCCUGGAGAGUGCGGGAACGAAGACAUUUUCAUGGAUAUGAAACUGGAUGCAGUUGAAGUUCAUCUGCUGGGUAAUCUUCCAUUUCUGGGGACUGCUUGACUUCCUGCUAAACACAGCUGGGACUUCUUCCUGGAGAGGAGCAACUGCUCCAUGCCAAUGUGUGUCCUGUGGCCAGUGAGGAGUGCGCCUGUGCCUGGCGCUUUGACCCAGAAGUGCACCCGCAGGCGCCGCCACUUCUGCCCUCGAUGCACUGGUGGGAGUCAGCGCCGUGUCCGCUCCUGCCCAGAGCCUUGAGGAGCCGCCUUCAACGCUGGUGGCUGAACCUGAGGAGACCCAGGGCCCUGCAGACUCAGGCUGGGAUCAGACUGCACACACAGAGGAGAAAGCAGAAGCUUAGAGAAAUGCCAAGAAUCCCUCAGUGCCCUGUUCCAGCCUGCCCCAAGAUUCUGACACCUCACAACUGCAUACAUGGAGGAGAAAGCAGAAGCUUAGAGAAAUGCCAAGAAUCCCCCUGUGCUCAGCCUGUCCAAAAUUCUGACACCUCAGAGCUGCACACACGAAGGAGAAAGCAGAAGCUUAGAGAAAUGCCAAGAAUCCCUCUGUGCUGUGUUCCAGGCUGUCCCAAGAUUCUGACACCUCAUAGUAAGUACUAGAUAUUUUUUUCUAUUUAAAUACUGGUUUGAAAGGCAGAAUUAUAGAUGAGGAGGUGUGGGAGAGAUCUUCGUGUAUGGGUUCACCCCCCAGGUGACUACAUUACCAGGGCUGGGCCAGGCGGGAGCAGAAGCCAGGUACUUUAUCCAGUACUCCAGAGUGGGUUCAGGGGCCCAAGUUCUUGGGGUGCAUCCUCUGCUUUCCUAGGCAUUUCAGCAUACAUCUGGAUCACAAGUGGGAACAGCCUGCGGGUGGGGGUGGGGUGGCCGACAGAACAGUGGCAUAGUGGAUGAAGCUGCCGCCUGUAGUACCAGCAUCCCAUAUGGGUGUCUUCCUUCUCUAUGAUACUUUUCUUCUCAUUCCCCCAGCAAACUAAGUAUCC